rnacentral:rRNA from 1 species
ACCUACGGGGGGCAGCAGUGGGGGAUAUUGCACAAUGGGGGGAACCCUGAUGCAGCGACGCCGCGUGAAGGAAGAAGUAUCUCGGUAUGUAAACUUCUAUCAGCAGGGAAGAAAAUGACGGUACCUGACUAAGAAGCCCCGGCUAACUACGUGCCAGCAGCCGCGGUAAUACGUAGGGGGCAAGCGUUAUCCGGAUUUACUGGGUGUAAAGGGAGCGUAGACGGCGAUGCAAGUCUGAAGUGAAAGGCGGGGGCCCGACCCCCGGACUGCUUUGGAAACUGUAUGGCUGGAGUGCAGGAGAGGUA